AUACGGAGGGUGCAAGCGUUAAUCGGAAUUACUGGGCGUAAAGAGUACGUAGGUGGUUUGUUAAGUCAGAUGUGAAAGCCCCGGGCUCAACCUGGGAACUGCAUUUGAAACUGGCAAACUAGAGUAUGGUAGAGGGGGGUAGAAUUUCUAGUGUAGCGGUGAAAUGCGUAGAUAUUAGAAGGAAUACCAGUGGCGAAGGCGGCCCCCUGGACCAAUACUGACACUGAGGUACGAAAGCGUGGGUAGCGAACAGGAUUAGAUACCCUAGUAGUCC
rnacentral:rRNA from 1 species